rnacentral:sRNA from 1 species
UUUUUAAUUAUCAUUAUAAAAGUUAAACACUUUCUUGUUUGAUUAAUAACACUUCAGGAGGUGGGGUGUGGUGGUGCACACUUGUAAUCCUAGCUUGGGAGGCCAAGGCAGGAGGAUGGCUUGAGCCCAGGAGUUCGAGGUCAGCCCAGGUAACAUAUUAAGACCCCACCUCUAAAAAAUCAAACAAACAAACAGAACACUUCAAGAUAGUAGGCUGGGUGCAAUGGCUCACGCCUGUAAUCCCUGUAUUUUGGGAGACUGAGGCAGGCAGAUCACUUGAGGUCAGGAGUUCGAGACCAGCCUGGCCAACAUGGUGAAACCCCGUCUCUACUAAAAAUACAAAAAAUUAGCCUGACGUGAUGGUGCACGCCUAUAGUCCCAGCUAUUUGGGAGGCUGAUGCAGGAGAAUUGCUUGAACCUGGGAGGCGGAGUGAGCCAAGAUUGUGCCAUUGCACUCUAGCCUGGGUGACAAAGCGAGACUCAAUCUCAAGAGAAAAAAAAACAAAACAAAAAGAUAGCAUAUGUAGUCAAACCAGAGACUGUCAGAAACUUUAGGUAUAUUUUUAUCAGUGGAGCUUUUCCUUAAUGGAAAUCCAUUUUCAAAGUUAAAUUCUUGUCCUUAUCAUAAUAAGGAAAAACUCAUGGGACCUAAAGUCAGUCACCCAGAUUCUCGAACUGCUUUGAGAAGUGAAAGCAUCUUAGGAGACUUUUUAGUCAUGCAGAAGAGGUGGAAAACUUGAGAUGGAAAGCUUUUCAGGAGGUGGAUUUUGUCCUACUGGUUGUUAUUAAAAUGAUUCUUUUUUCAAUUCCCAGUUCAACUUUAGUUGGCUUACCACGAGUGAAGCGUGACAAGUACUCAGUCUUCAACUUUCUGACGCUCCCAGAGACAGCUUCCUUGUCCACCACUCAAGCAUCAAGUGAAAAAGUAUCACAGCACCGAGGUCCCGACAAAUCAAGAAAACCAUCCAGAUGGGAUACCUCUAAACACGAAAAGAAAGAAGAUUCCAUUAGUGAAUUUUUAAGUUUGGCUAGAUCAAAAGCCGGGCCACCUAAACAAGAGUCCAGCCCCUUAGUAAACAAAGAGGAAGAGUGUGCACCAGAAUCAUCCGCAAAUCAGACAGUCAACAAAGGUGUGGACGCACAGGCUGAAGGAGAAGGGAGCCGCCCAUCCAUGGACUUAUUCAGGGCCAUCUUUGCCAGUUCCUCAGAUGAAAAGUCCUCAUCCUCCGAGGAUGAGCAAGAUGACAGCGAAGAUGAUCAGGCGGGCUCUGGGGAGGCCAACUUCCAAAGCUCCCAAGACACUGACUUGGGGGAAACAUCAUCCAUGGCUCGCACUCUCGUACCAGCACCCCAGGAGCCACCACCUUCCUUCCCAAUACAAAAGAUGCAGAUAGAUGAAAGAGAAGAGUUCGGCCCGCGGCUGCCUCCCGUCUUCUGCCCCAAUGCUCGUCAGACACUUGAGGUUCCUCAAAAAGAGAAACAUAAAAAGAAUAAAGACAAGCACAAGGCCAAGAAAGAGCACAGGCGGAAGAAAGAGAAGAAAAAGAAACACAGGAAGCACAAACACAAAGGCAAGCAAAAGAAUAAAAAAACAGAGAAAAGUAGUAGCUCCGAGAGUUCCGACAGCAGCGACAGCCAGAGUGAUGAGGAAACUGCAGAUGUGUCACCCCAGGAGCUGCUGAGACGGCUGAAAAGUCUUCCGCUAAGAAGGCAGUAAUUGAAUGCUGCCCUGGCUUGUCCUAGAAUCAUUUCUCCUCCAUGAUGGAAGCCCAGUGAUUGUUCAGUUAACGUGUUGUACAGAGUGUAUUUAUAUGUAAAUUCCUGCUGUAAAAUAAUUUUUAAAACCUUGACAUUUCAAAGACUGCCUUGAAAGGUCGCAGAAAUUGAUUUCUAUUUUUAAUUUCAGUUAGUGUCGGGGGAAAAAAAUCCAGACUGAACAGUUUAAUUAAAGUGGAAUUUUUCU